rnacentral:rRNA from 1 species
AACGAACGCUGGCGGCAGGCUUAACACAUGCAAGUCGAACGGUUGCAGCAAUGCAGCAGUGGCAGACGGGUGAGCAACACGUGGGAACCUUCCUAGGGGUACGGAACAACUCAGGGAAACUUGAGCUAAUACCGUAUACGUCCGUGAGGAGAAAGAUUUAUCGCCCUUAGACGGGCCCGCGUCGGAUUAGCUAGUUGGUGGGGUAACGGCUUACCAAGGCGACGAUCCGUAGCUGAUCUUAGAGGAUGAUCAGCCACACUGGGACUGAGACACGGCCCAGACUCCUACGGGAGGCAGCAGUGGGGAAUCUUGGACAAUGGGCGCAAGCCUGAUCCAGCCAUGCCGCGUGAGUGAAGAAGGUCUUCGGAUUGUAAAGCUCUUUUGCCAGGGACGAUAAUGACGGUACCUGGAGAAUAAGCCCCGGCAAACUUCGUGCCAGCCGCCGCAGUAAUAC